UCCUGAUAAGUCAUCCAUAUUAUAUUUCAAUCUUUCAAAUCUAUCACAUGGAUUACUCGAGCCCAGAUUUUACUAAAUUGAAAUACAUUGAUACAUUAACUCCUACUAAUUCAGAGAGAUCAAUCUUAUCUCGACUCACGCACUGACUUGAUAAGUAUUUAACUACAUCCAAAAAUCUUUCAUCACUGAAUUAUAAAUUCAGAUAGUCCGACAUCAAAGUACAGUGAGUUGCUUGUAAGUCACCAUAGUGAUCUC
rnacentral:lncRNA from 1 species